rnacentral:rRNA from 1 species
UACAGAGGGUGCAAGCGUUGUUCGGAAUUAUUGGGCGUAAAGGGUGCGUAGGCGGUUUGACAAGUCUGAUGUGAAAUCUAUGGGCUCAACCCAUAGUCUGCAUUAGAAACUGUCGGGCUUGAGUAUGGGAGAGGUGAGUGGAAUUUCCGGUGUAGCGGUGAAAUGCGUAGAUAUCGGAAAGGAACACCUGUGGCGAAAGCGGCUCACUGGACCAUUACUGAACGCUGAUGACAC